rnacentral:rRNA from 1 species
UACGUAGGGUGCGAGCGUUAAUCGGAAUUACUGGGCGUAAAGCGUGCGCAGGCGGUUUUGUAAGCCAGGUGUGAAAUCCCCGGGCUCAACCUGGGAAUGGCAUUUGGGACUGCAAGGCUGGAGUGCGGCAGAGGAGACUGGAAUUCCGCGUGUAGCAGUGAAAUGCGUAGAGAUGCGGAGGAACACCGAUGGCGAAGGCAGCCCCCUGGGCUAGCACUGACGCUCAGGCACGAAAGCGUGGGGAGCAAACAGG